AUUGAACGCUGGCGGCAUGCCUUACACAUGCAAGUCGAACGGCAGCACGGGAGCAAUCCUGGUGGCGAGUGGCGAACGGGUGAGUAAUAUAUCGGAACGUGCCCAGUCGUGGGGGAUAACGCAGCGAAAGCUGUGCUAAUACCGCAUACGAUCUAUGGAUGAAAGCGGGGGACCGCAAGGCCUCGCGCGAUUGGAGCGGCCGAUAUCAGAUUAGCUAGUUGGUGGGGUAAAGGCCCACCAAGGCGACGAUCUGUAGCUGGUCUGAGAGGACGACCAGCCACACUGGAACUGAGACACGGUCCAGACUCCUACGGGAGGCAGCAGUGGGGAAUUUUGGACGAUGGGCGCAAGCCUGAUCCAGCAAUGCCGCGUGCAGGAUGAAGGCCUUCGGGUUGUAAACUGCUUUUGUACGGAACGAAACGGUGAGCUUUAAUACAGUUUGCUAAUGACGGUACCGUAAGAAUAAGCACCGGCUAACUACGUGCCAGCCGCCGCAGUAAAAC
rnacentral:rRNA from 1 species